rnacentral:rRNA from 1 species
UACGGAGGGUGCAAGCGUUAUCCGGAUUCACUGGGCUUAAAGGGUGCGUAGGCGGGCUGGUAAGUCAGUGGUGAAAUCUCCGGGCUUAACUCGGAAACUGCCAUUGAUACUAUCAGUCUUGAAUACCGUGGAGGUCAGUAGAAUAUGUCAUGUAGCGGUGAAAUGCUUAGAUAUGACAUAGAAUACCAAUUGCGAAGGCAGCUGGCUACACGAAUAUUGACACUCAGGCACGAAAGCGUGGGGAUCAAACAGG